rnacentral:rRNA from 1 species
CUACGGGGCGCAGCAGUGGGGAAUAUUGGGCAAUGGGCGCAAGCCUGACCCAGCAACGCCGCGUGAGGGAAGAAGGUUUUCGGAUUGUAAACCUCUGUCCUUGGGGACGAAGAAGUGACGGUACCCAAGGAGGAAGCUCCGGCUAACUACGUGCCAGCAGCCGCGGUAAUACGUAGGGAGCAAGCGUUGUCCGGAAUUACUGGGCGUAAAGGGUGCGUAGGCGGCAUAUUAAGUCAGGUGUGAAAUACUCGGGCUCAACCCGGGGGCUGCAUUUGAAACUGAUAUGCUUGAGUGUGAGAGAGGAAAGUGGAAUUCCUAGUGUAGCGGUGGAAUGCGUAGAUAUCAGGAGGAACACCAGUGGCGAAGGCGACUUUCUGGCUCAUAACUGACGCUGAGGCACGAAAGCGUGGGGAGCAAACAGGAUUAGAUACCCUAGUAGUC